rnacentral:tRNA from 1 species
GCCGGGGUGGUGGAACUGGCAGACACAAGGGACUUAAAAUCCCUUGGAGCUUGGCUCCGUGCGGGUUCGAGCCCCGCCCCCGGCA